AACAGCCUUGUUGCUCACACAAAGCCUGUUUGGUGGUCUCUUCACACAAACGUGCAUGAAAUUUGGUGCCAUGACUCGGAUUGGGGUACCUCCCUUGGGAGAUCAAUCCCCAGUCCUCCUGCUGUUUGCUCCAUGAGAAAGAUCCACCUAGGACCUCAGGUCCUCAGACUGACCAGCCCAAGGAACAUCUCACCAAUUUCAAAUCUGGACCCCACUGAAAAUCGGACUGUUCAACUCAUCUGGCAGCCACUCCCAGAGCCCCUGGAACUCUGGCCCAAGCCUCUCUGACUGACUCCUUCCCAGAUCUUCUCGGCUUAGCAGCUGAAGACUGACACUGCCCAAUCGCCUUGGAAGCCCCCUAGACCAUCACGGACACCGAGCUUCGAGUAACUCUCACAGUGGAGGGAACGCGCAUGAAAAAAACAAACAAAAAAAUUUCUUUUGGUAGCAGAAUAAAAAAACAAAAAAAAGGACUUUUUCUUCUGGACUGAACUAUAUUUAAAUCUCAAAGGAUGGACAUCUCACAACCUUCGUACAGCAAGUACUGUGAGAGCUGCAUCUUGUCCCACUGGAUGGUCUUCAGAGACAAUAAUACAUAAUGGAGCUGUCAUCUCCUAUGAUAACAAUGCCUUCUUCUGGAUACCUCCUGAAGGACCUGCCUGAGGCUCUUUCACUGUUAGUUUUUUUUUAAUAAGUAGAAGGAUUACACUCUAAAAUAAUAAGUGUAGUAUAGUAAAUGUAUAAACCAGUAACAUAAUGGUUUAUUAUCAUUAUCAAGUAUUACAUACUGUACAAAAUUAUAUGUGCUACAAUUUUAUGUGACUGGCAG
rnacentral:lncRNA from 1 species